CGAAGACGCAUUCGGAUGUCUGCCCUAUCAACUUUCAAUGUUACUAUCUGCGCCUACUAUGGUGACCACGGGUAACGGGGAAUCUGAGAAACGGCUACCACAUCCAAGGAAGGCAGCAGGCGCGCAAAUUAACCACUCCCAACGCGGGGAGGUAGUGACG